rnacentral:rRNA from 1 species
UACCAGCACCCCGAGUGGUUGGGACGAUUAUUGGGCCUAAAGCAUCCGUAGCCGGUCCUACAAGUCUUCCGUUAAAUCCAGCUGCUUAACAGAUGGGCUGCGGAGGAUACUAUAAGACUAGGAGGCAGGAGAGGCAAGCGGUACUCAGUGGGUAGGGGUAAAAUCCGUUGAUCCAUUGAAGACCACCAGUGGCGAAGGCGGCUUGCCAGAAUGCGCUCGACGGUGAGGGAUGAAAGCUGGGGGAGCAAACCGG